rnacentral:rRNA from 1 species
UACAGAGGGGGCAAGCGUUAUUCGGAAUUAUUGGGCGUAAAGGGCGCGUAGGCGGCUUUGCAAGUGGCGGGUGAAAUCCCUCGGCUUAACCGAGGAACUGCCUGUCAAACUGCAUGGCUUGAGACCAGGAGAGGUGAGUGGAAUUCCCAGUGUAGCGGUGAAAUGCGUAGAUAUUGGGAGGAACACCAGUGGCGAAGGCGGCUCACUGGACCGGUACUGACGCUGAUGCGCGAAAGCGUGGGGAGCGAUCCGGA